UACGGAGGGUGCGAGCGUUGUUCGGAAUCACUGGGCGUAAAGGGCGCGUAGGCGGCGCGGAUAGUCGGCGGUGAAAGCCCGGAGCUCAACUCCGGGUCGGCCGUCGAUACUUCCGGGCUUGAGCACUGUAGAGGCAGAUGGAAUUCCGGGUGUAGCGGUGGAAUGCGUAGAGAUCCGGAAGAACACCGGUGGCGAAGGCGGUCUGCUGGGCAGUUGCUGACGCUGAUGCGCGACAGCGUGGGGAGCAAACAGG
rnacentral:rRNA from 1 species